GGUCAAAAUCACGCUGAAACACCGGUUCUCGUUCCGAUCACCGAAGUUAAGCAGGUAGAGCCAAGUCAGUACUUAGAUGGGGACCGCUUUCACUUGAACACCUGGUAAUGUAA